GAUGAACGCUGGCGGCGUGCCUAAUACAUGCAAGUCGAGCGAACGGACGAGAAGCUUGCUUCUCUGAUGUUAGCGGCGGACGGGUGAGUAACACGUGGAUAACCUACCUAUAAGACUGGGAUAACUUCGGGAAACCGGAGCUAAUACCGGAUAAUAUUUUGAACCGCAUGGUUCAAAAGUGAAAGACGGUCUUGCUGUCACUUAUAGAUGGAUCCGCGCUGCAUUAGCUAGUUGGUAAGGUAACGGCUUACCAAGGCAACGAUGCAUAGCCGACCUGAGAGGGUGACAGGCCACACUGGAACUGAGACACGGUCCAGACUCCUACGGGAGGCAGCAGUAGGGAAUCUUCCGCAAUGGGCGAAAGCCUGACGGAGCAACGCCGCGUGAGUGAUGAAGGUCUUCGGAUCGUAAAACUCUGUUAUUAGGGAAGAACAUAUGUGUAAGUAACUGUGCACAUCUUGACGGUACCUAAUCAGAAAGCCACGGCUAACUACGUG
rnacentral:rRNA from 1 species